UUUCAAACAAUAUAGAGAGAAGGAAGAUUUUCAGAGAGAAGGAGAAUGAGUAUUGGGACAGGGAAGGUGGUGUGUGUAACGGGAGCGUCCGGAUAUAUAGCGUCAUGGCUGGUGAAGCUCUUGCUUCAACGCGGCUACACUGUCAAAGCCUCAGUUCGUGACCCAAAUGAUCCAAAUAAGACAGAACACUUACUUGGGCUAGAUGGAGCUAAGGAAAGACUUCAUUUGUUCAAAGCAGAGUUAAUGGAAGAAGGAUCUUUUGAUUCUGUGGUUGAUGGAUGUGACGGAGUUUUUCAUACAGCAUCACCCUUUUAUUUCAGUGUCACCGAUCCACAGACAGAGUUAGUUGACCCAGCAUUGAAAGGAACACUAAACGUUCUCAGAUCUUGUGCUAAAGUUUUAUCUGUUAAAAGAGUGGUUAUAACAUCCUCAAUGGCAGCGGUUGCAUACAAUGGGAAACCUCUUGCUCCUGAUGUUACAGUUGAUGAGGCUUGGUUUUCAGAUCCUGCUUUAUGUGAGAAAUCAAAGCUUUGGUAUAUGCUUUCAAAGACCUUAGCAGAGGAGGCCGCUUGGAAAUUUGGAAAAGAAAAUGGAAUUGAUAUUGUAGCUGUAAAUCCAGGGUUGGUGUUUGGUCCUCUGUUACAGCCGAGUCUUAAUACAAGUGUGGAGCCAGUUCUGAAGCUUUUAAAUGGCGCAGAAAGAUUUCCAAAUGUAAUAUACAGAUGGGUUGAUGUUAGAGAUGUUGCUCAUGCACAUAUACUAGCUUUUGAAAACCCAUCAGCUAGUGGAAGAUAUUGUUUAGUUGCAGAAGUUGUUCAUUGUUCUGAGGUUUUGAAGCUUUUGCACAAGCUCUUUCCUGAUCUGAAGCUUCCUGAAAAAUGUGCAGAUGACAAGCCUUUUGAAACAACAUACAAGGUGUCUAAGGAGAGAGCACAAAGUUUAGGCCUUAGCUUCACUCCUGUGGAGGUGAGUUUGAAGGAUACUGUUGAGAGCUUGAAGGAGAAGAACUUCUUGAGUGUCUGAUUCAUUAUAUUACUUUGCAACUCUGGAAAACAGUUAAAGUGUAAACUUUGCCUGCCCUCCAAUUCUAUUGUUCUGGAGGGCAAGUGUUCUUGAGGACUUGCGUUGUAAUAUUUGGCCGUGAGCGUUGCGUAAUGAUGGUAAGCACGAGUGACUUCCGCGUUUUUGCUUUUCAAA